GCUUCUGGGUGGAAUGUUGUCUGGUUCAAGGUCUCGCUCUGGUUUGAGGAUGGAAACCUUUCAUUUCUCUCAGCUUCCUGCGAUCUCGGACCAGGCUUCAUUCCCCUCAGAGAUAG
rnacentral:pre_miRNA from 1 species